UCUCUUAGUCAAGAAAUGCUCAAGAAAGUGAGUGCACUGGGAAACAUAAUUAAAUUUUCCAGACUUUCAAAUCUCAGUGAGACAUUAGACAAGGGAAGAGGAAUAAAAAGGAAAAAGAAUAGAAGCUGAGCAGUAAGAGAUACUAUGACAGAUUAGGAACCGCUGUCUUUUUUUUCCCCUGAGCUGCAUACAUGCUAUUCAACAAACCAUCUCUUCACGUCUGUGUUACAACGCAUUUCAUAAAAACAUCUGUUGAAUGAGACAUUUUGACAUGCCUUAAAAAGAGUCCACUAUUUUAUAACAUUUUUGUCCUCUCAUAUCAUGUUUAGAUGACAGCCUACUAAUGAUGUAAAUUUGAUUAAGUGAGAACAUGUGCCAUAUGGAGUAAUUGACAAUGUUUGCGAUAUUGAUGAGGAACCUCAAUCCAAUCAAUGUGGUGUGUUUACUAAUUCCCUGCAGGCCUCCAACAGCCAAAGAAGAAAUACGGGAAUGGGGUUGAGGAGCAAGGUGACAAGAUGUUCCAAGAAUAAGCAAAAGACAUGGAAAACAAUGUUCUCUGGCAGCAGUUCUUGAGUGGGACAUUCAGCUCAUGAAUUUCAUGGUAUUUAAUUUUCCCAGAAAAGAGUUAAAAUCAAUGUUGGUAGUAUUUAAGGAAAAGCUUUUCUUCAUGUGAUACCAAGAUUAUAAUAAAGAUCAAGGACAUUACCUAACUGGAGUGUUGAGUGAAUGAAGAAAUGGAAAACACAUGGGGCACAGAAGAGCUGGAAUGUGAGGGUCUAGGGUCUCAGAAGAAGAAUCCAUAACUCCCCAGAAGCUUGAGUGUUUAUUAUAUAAAGGUAAACAAGGACCAAGGUUAUUACACACAGGUGCAUCUUUCAACUCACAGGAUAGCAGCUCUUGAAAAAGAUCUACACAAGACCAGGCCCACCAACAUCCUCCCAUACAUGGGGAAGGGACUUAUUGGUCUAACACUUCUCCCUGCAGAGAAGAAAUUAAAAGUAACAGGAGGUUGGUCGCCCAUAACCACUGAGUAUUGAGGCAGAUAAUAUGAAAAUUCUUCCGCCUAUGAAUUCAUGAUGUGUGUGCUUCUACAGUGACCCUGAAGAUCUUGACACUGUGACACACUCUUUCACAUCACUAAGGAUUCUGCAUGCCACGUACUUACAUAGUGGUUUCUGUUGCUUGAAGGAAAUGUCCUGCCAUUUCAAUUAGCAAAACAGGUGACACCUUGCUGACAUUUCAAGAAACACCGAGGACAGUUUGAAAUAGAAUGAAUUUCAUCAUAGCUCUGAUAUAGAAACCUAAAAAGCAUCAUGAAAGAGAAGCUUCCAAAAGAUAUGAUACUUCUGUAGGCAUUUCUGGCCUAGGUUGUCUGAAGAAUGCUACUUAAUGU